GCCUGAUGCAGGACUUGAUUUCACGAACCGUGAGCCGAUGGCCCGCGCCAAAAUCAAGAGUCGAGCGCUCAAUCGACUGAGCCACCCAGGCGCCCGGAUGCAUUGCAAUGACUUAUGAGCCUCUUAGUAUAAAAGGAGGUGGGACUGGAUGCAGAGGGUCAAGGCAUCCUUCCGGCUUUCCCACGUACCCACCUUCCUCACCUCACAGACGUCCUCACAGAGGAUGUCACCACCUGCAAGGCGCCCCCGCAGACUUGCCGUGACUGGUGAAUGGGAUAGCAUCUCUGGAGGGUCUGCGAAGCUCGGGCGUGGUGGAGGUGGCCUCGGAGAUUAUGAAGCCUCGGCUUCUCCCUUGCUUUGCUUAGAGAGAGACAGAGGGAGAGCGGAGGUUAACACGAGCCAAAGAUACAGGACCGAGUGCCUCAAUUCCCGUGUCUGGUUCCAGAUGAAAUACCACUCGUGCAGGGAGAGGAUCGUGCGGGGCUGGCAGUUCUGGAGGCCAGUCGACUCUGCGCCGUUCCUGGAGGAAGAGAGUAGGUGCUCGUCCCUGCACUUGACGCUGGUGUCUGGGGCCAGUGGGAGAAGAGCUGAGUCCCUACGCGGUGCGUAGGCGUUGACGGAAGAAGGCUGCAAGCCCCAAGUGGGCAGAGCGUCCAGCUGAGGCCCCCUGAGCUUGCGCUUCGUGCUAUCUUACUACCACCGGUCCCGUUGGCUCAAGACCUUAUCAUUUCCUUGGGUGGGGGCUCUUCCCAGCCCUGUGGACGCCCUGUCCAAAUACAGGAAGGGCCCCGCACGCUGGAGUUAGUCUGGUGGGCCUGCACUGUCGCCCUGAUCUUCCUUAGAAAAAUACAAUUGACUGCCUAGAAAAACGCCCAAAAACAGAUGCCAAGAAAACUGGUGACUGCUCACUGUGCAUGCCUGAUUCUCCAGGAGCGGUAAACCCGACUUUACUUGAGCAAGGCACUGGGAGGAGACGUGUAGCUAGACUGCAGCCACGAGCAGCACCACCACCAAGCUCUUGGGCUCCAGAAUGCGAUUUUGUGCUACAGGGCCUUCUCAAUGCCUGUAACGUUGCCCCAGCGAUGCUACAGCUGUUGGCCAUGAGGGCCACUAGUUGGCCUCUUCGUGUUGGGGUCCACGUCAGAGAUUUUAUAGGAAGCAUGGGACAGAAAUGUAAGAAGCCAUGAUUCUUUAUCUGCUUAACCAAAGUUCAGUUUGGUUCCCUCAGCGUGUCCAGAAGCAAAAGUACGAAACAAGGCUUCUCCUUCCCCUGGAUUGCGCCUUAGAACCUGGGAGCCUGGGAGCCCACCCACACCAAGGUCAUAUCCCAGAGAAUUAAGUCAGAACCCUUGGGGCUGAGACGUGGGCAGCAGUGGUUUCUCUUGGGCUCUUGAUCGCAUUGAUGUGCAGCCUCUCUUGAGAACCACUAGUGGGCCCGGGCUUAGAGAAGACAACAGGUGUGUUUGUUAUAUUAGAGAAACCAAUCUUACUCCAUUCUGAAACAGCCAAGUUAUUUAUUUUUCAAUAGCUCCGUCUGGCUCUAGAGUGUUAUUUUUGGGUCCUCCACAUUCAGCAGUCAAUAAAAAUGCCUUGACCUUGA